rnacentral:rRNA from 1 species
AUUGAACGCUGGCGGCAGGCCUAACACAUGCAAGUCGAGCGGCAGCGGAAAGUAGCUUGCUACUUUGCCGGCGAGCGGCGGACGGGUGAGUAAUGUCUGGGAAACUGCCUGAUGGAGGGGGAUAACUACUGGAAACGGUAGCUAAUACCGCAUAACGUCGCAAGACCAACGAGGGGGACCUUCGGGCCUCUUGCCAUCAGAUGUGCCCAGAUGGGAUUAGCUAGUAGGUGGGGUAACGGCUCACCUAGGCGACGAUCCAUCGCUGGUCGGAGAGGACGACCAGCCACACUGGAACUGAGACACGGUCCAGACUCCUACGGGAGGCAGCAGUGGGGAAUAUUGCACAAUGGGCGCAAGCCUGAUGCAGCCAUGCCGCGUGUAUGAAGAAGGCCUUCGGGUUGUAAAGUACUUUCAGCGGGGAGGAAGGUGUUGAGGUUAAUAACCUCAGCAAUUGACGUUACCCGCAGAAGAAGCACCGGCUAACUCCGUGCCAGCAGCCGCCGUAAGAC